rnacentral:misc_RNA from 1 species
UCACAAGGAUUAACACAGAAUGGUUCUGGUUGCAAGCUGUCCAAAGAUUGACGCGAAAUCAUGUGACAGAUGGCUUCGCAGACGGAAGAUUUGAUUAUAUUUCAGAAAAAUGCACUUCCUUAGCUGUGUGUAUCCGCAGUGGUAUUUGACGAUAAGGCCUCAGUAUAAUUUGGUACAAUUUUGAUUUCAAGACGGCGGUGGCAUCGAUGUCCGCAAAAGGUUCAGUAGGAAAUUGGGGGGACAGCUUACAAUGUUUUAAAAUGGUUCUUCUUGGAGAUGUAAGCGUUGGUAAGACUUCGCUUAUAAAAGCCCUUAAAAAUGAACAUGAACUAUGGGAACUUCCCAAAGAGUAUAGAGCAACCACGGGGGCCUGGAUUACAUACGUUGACAUAACAAACACACGCAGGCUUCUCAUUACUGACACAUCCGGAAAGCGGGAAUAUACAUCUCUUGUUAAUUUGUACUUAAGACAUCUGCACUGCAUUGUUUUGGUGUUUGCCCUUGAUGAGCCCUCGAGCUUCACGCGACUUAAGAAUCACUGGUAUCAAGAGUUCAUUCAAAGCUUCAAAGGUGAGGUUUCAAACGUAGCAAAGUUUGUUGUUGGUACCAAGAUUGAUGUAGCACCGCAUAGCUGUACAUUACAAACAGAAGCAACAUGGUUUUCUGAAGAAAUUGGAGCAGAGAUUUGGAUCACUUCAGCACACACAUUAUCCAACACUUAUGAAUUGUUCUACCGAGUCGCCGAGAAGGCCAGUACCCUUUUCACUAGUGAGAUCAAUCCGGUUGAUAUCCAAGAUGGCUCAUCAAGUUUCGGUGACCACCUUGUGGACGACAUGCUCCUUGGUGAAGGAGCCCUUGUGAAGUAUCCCGAUCCAGUCCUUUUAGAAACUGAAGAAGAGAUUACAGAUCUUCAGUUGUUCCAUCAGUGUGUAUCUAUGACAGGGCAGAGCAGGAAAUUUACUUGGGGGACUUGGUCAGAGGAGUGCUCAAAGGAGGCAGUGUUAAAGCUGGAGAUGUCAAGGCAUCCAGACAGGAAAUCAAACAAGCUUUGGGCCUGUGUGAUGGCUAACGCGCCACCUAGCACUUGGCAGUACGAGAACUUAGAGGGUGUGAAACAUUACGGAACAACAGUCAAAAGACAACCCACAAAGACAAAGUUCAAGGACGUAAAAAAGCUCCUCUUUAGUUCACGUGACCAGCUAAACUGCGAAAGGGAACACGGCCUUUUUUACAUGUUACUUCUGUCAGAAGAUGGUAGAAUGUCAGAGGUUGGCCUUAACUCUGUCAGUACGAGAUUGACCAAGGGAACUUCAUCAGAGAAAGAAGUUGUCAAGAAUAAAUUCCACUUCAAGCCAUCGCCGCUCUCUGAAAAGGUGGCAUGUAUGAAUAUGUCUCUUACUCAUGCGGCUGUUAUUGAGGAAGAUACAGCAAGAGUUAGCACCUGGGGCCAUGGAGACACUGGAGCACUCGGUAUUGAUAAGGAAGACUUACAAUAUCAUGCCGUUCUAUAUUUUCCGUUAACAGUAACAUCAAUAGACUGCCAAAUAAAACAAGUUACCUGUGGUUCAUCCUUCACUUUAAUGUUGAGCACAGAUGGAAAGGUAUUCUCUUGUGGAACGGGAGCUUUAGGAAAGUUAGGACAUGGAGACGAAACGGACAGAUCAUUGCCCACAUUGAUUGAGUCGUUAAAGGAUAUCCAGGCAAUUGCUGCAGGAGGUGACCACGCCGUGGCAUUAAACCAAAGAGGCGUUCUUUACCAAUGGGGACUGGAUUGCGCUGAUGUUGAGAGAAGACGGUUCCUUUCAAAACCCCAAAAAGUAAGCCAACUCUUCAACGUGGCCGUGAAGUCGGUAGUCUGUGGAACUUUUCACACUGUCUGCGUGGCGAACGGAAUAUACUACACUGGUAUCGGAUAUGCGUGGGGAUUAGGUUCCGAUGGUCAACUAGGUCAGGGUCAUUGCCAGUGCCUUUCUGCCCCUAAAUUGAUCAGGGAACUUUACCGCAAUAGCAAAUUUGUGAAGCAAGUAUCAGCUGGGUGGAAACACUCUGGGCUUUUAACUGUUGACGGAGAAGUGUACACUUGUGGAAACAAUGCCUUCGGACAGCUUGGUUAUUUUACUGUUUCUGAUUGUAGCGAUGUCCCACGAAAAGUUUCUCUUGGAACGAAUGUAUCAGGAGACGAAAUGAGAGCGAAAGAAUUGUGCUGUAGUGAAGACUACACCAUGGUUUUAACCACCACUGGAGAUGUAAAGAUAUGGGGAAAAUGCCACUAUGGGUCUAAGUUGGAAGAUCCAAUACCUUUUGAUGUGAAUAACGAAGCUUCCUCUGACCUUGCUGCUGGUGGUGAAGCCAUAAGCAUCAGGGAUGUCACCACGUGUUAUUUGCCAUGUGAAACAUCAUUUAUCGAGCUUGUUGUGGCGCUGACUGGCACAAGUAAUCUGAUAUUUUGCGCAGGGAUCUCUCCUAAGUUUGAUUGCCAGGCCAUGCAUGAUUGCAUAUUACAGAUUCAAUGCAACAUGAGCGACUUGACCAUUCUCCGCUCGGUAGGCUCAGUCUUGAUCAGCAUGGAUAGGCGAGGAAAAGCCCAUUAUGUCGACAUCUGGAGGUGGUUGUUGCAACAUUUUCCUCCCGACCCUCAAAACAACACAAUUCCUGAAGACCUCCUGCAUUCCUUGUUCUCCAACUUGAAAGAGUCAGAUGCUGAUAAAUCACCGAAAGUUGAUUUCACUGCCGUCCCUUUUCAAGGUGAUAUUAUAAUGGCAGUGGAAGCAAGUCUCAACAUAUUUCUCUUUUGUACCACCAUUGGAGAUGUAUACAGUUGGUCCCCGAUGGCCGGCGGAGCUGUUGUGCGCCAUAAGGAAUUGAACAGUGAAAUAAUUGUGCAAAUCGCUUGUGGUGCGAGCCAUCUAGCUGCCUUAUCCGAUAGAGGAAUUCUCUUCACAUCAGGGGAGGGUACUUCAGGCCAGCUGGGAUGUGGUACAUUGCAAACCUUCCAGACUUUUCAGCUUGUUCCGGUAACAGCGUUGGACAGGGUUCAUACUGUAUGUUGUGGAUGGGCAAGCACAUCUGUUCUCACAGAAAAUGGCAAGGUGUACUUCUGGGGCCAGCUAGAUUUACCAGAGGGGGAAAAAACAAGGAAAAAACUUUCGAGUAUCACUGCUGCAGCCCAGCCCAUUGACAUUCCAAACCUUCUGGAAGAGACGCAGAGCAGUUCUUCUCCUGCCGGAUACAAAUUGGACAUCAUAGGCGACGUUGGAACCGCAGACAAUCACCUCGCUGUAGUUGGCAGAUUAUUUGAAGUGGAAAUAUCCAAAAGAAACGAAAACUCACAAGACAGUACCUGCACGGAAUUUAGAGCCGAGAUAAUUAACUGCCAAGACCCCCCAAAUAAUCUUCAUUCCAAAGGAAAGAUAAAGCAGUCACUUAAUGCGGAUGGGGUGUACGUUGCUUCCAUGGUUUUCUAUUCUGAAGGGUCGUUCAAAGUCUCUAUAACAAGAAAUGGAAAGAACCUUCUUGGCAGUCCGUUUAAAGUCAAAGCAGAAAAAAGUGUUACGUCGAAAAGAACUAAACUGUCGCUGAUUAGUUCAGACACUGACUGCAUGAGAGAAGUUGGUGGGGUCCUUCAGAAAGCCAUCGGUCCGUAUGAAUCGUGGAUUCAGUUGAUGGGGGUUCCAGUCAUCAACACAGAUUUAUUGACACAGGUAGCCUUUAUGAUGACGUCGAUGACCGACAGUGGAAUUUACGUCUACGUCUGGGACGCCUGUAACGGAAGCCUGCCUGAGGAGGACCUUAACUUCUGGUUGCACUUACUGUCACAACAUGCAUCUUCCGCCGAUAUUAUCCUUUUGGGUAUAAAUAUAAGCACUACACAUGCCAAUGACAUCGACUUGGAGCCAUUCCAGAAAGUGAAUCCAAAGAUGAAGCGAUCUAUUCUUGUUGGGACCACCUUUGCUUCAGAACCAGACAAGCUGUUGGAGGAAUUGCUUUUGGUGCUAAGUGAAACAAACUGCCACCAAAGUCCGGUCUGGUACAGAUUAGACAGUUUGGCUUCAAAAGUCCUUGAGUUGAAGAUGGAAGGGAUUGAACAUCUUGAUUAUUCUAAAUUUAAGAGUCUGGCUAGUGAGUGCGGCAUCCAGGGAGAUCAUCUAUGCAGAAGAGCUGCCAACUACCUUGAGCGCACAGGAUUGGGUAUCUUAAUAGGAGCAGAUUCGUUUUUCUUAGUUCUCCUGCCUCGUUGGUUUGAGCGGCAGCUCACCGAAGUUACGAGGCUCAGUCACUUCGGGAGCCUAAGCAGGAAAGUCUUAGAUUUGACAAAGCAACACAUCGUCAAAUUUUUGAUUGAAAAGCGAGUGGCCGUUGAGACGAGAGAUAGGAGUGCAGUUUACAUCAUUCCUCGCCUGACUUCAAAAUCUAUCACAGCAAAGAAUUGGCCUCCGGUGGAAGAGUCCAAAUACACCAUCUACAGACAUUUGGUGUUUGAGGUGCCGCCCUAUCACGUCCAUUCCAGUUUCCAUUCUCUUGUUGCGAACAUUCUGCAAAAAUAUCGUCAUGUGAUUGUGGGGAAAUAUUCUCUGGUUAUCUACAGGGACGAUCAGUACGACUGUCGUAUUGAUUGCGGACCUUGUUUCGUCAACAAAACUGUAUUGGAGGUAAGAGUGACAGUGCGGGCACACAGCCAAGAUGUUUGCAAGGCUGGUGCAGAUGAAACAUUACGUUUCCUGAAAACGCGCUUUACGACCUGUCUUGGCUAUUGUGAGAUCAAGGUGUCUUGUCGUGCCUGUCGGCAGCAUUAUUUUGAUUUGUCCCUUCUACAAGAGGCAGCAGCACUUGACGAGGAUAGGUGUCAUUGUGAAAGAUGUCAUGACAAAAAAUCUACCAUCAGUGACAUGUUAAAUGGAUUCAAAGAUACGCAAUCGAUGCCAGCGCUGGAAUGGCAUCCAGCAGGUGACUCGCACUGUAAGCCUGAUGAUCCUCGCUCUAACACUCUGACUCGUCCCGUGAUGAGGUACUUUGGUGAUCACGUCGACAAGGUUGAAGCGAAAGUGCUGAGAGAGAUCAGAGAAAGGAUUGAAGACUUGACAAAAGUUUUCAUGGACCUAAAAAAUGAAAUGGAGACGGUAGUGGGGUGCACUUUCUUGACUCCAGCAAGCAUGAAGGGUACAGACUAGAGAGCAUCGUGGCUGCUGAUCUGAUCAAAAAAAGUGUUAAUUUUUUGCGGUUUACUUUGCAGCUUCUCAUCAACCUUUCCUCUGUGGCGAGCAUCGCUACAACCCUCUUUGAUGGGGAAGAAACCCUGAAUACCGUCCUCGGCACAAU